CCAUAACAUGAACAAAGAGCAGUGAGGUUGCAUUUAGUGUGUCCUGAUAUUAAGCCUGUAUUAUAUGUAUGUGAGACUGUUAUAAUGGUUUCCCCUGAAGCGUGUCUGGUGGAUGUGAUCUUGCUGUAACAUGGGACCAAGCUGGAGAACAACUUUGUUCUGGAGUCAUUACUGAAGAUACUGCCAAACACUGGACUCACAGAAGUUCUCUUGGAAGUUCCAUUUCAAACUUUGGAAAAUUCCUAAUAAAUUAUUGAGUAUGUUUUAAAAUCAGACCAUGCUUUGCUUCUCUUUGAUGUCAGUUGUGUGAUUCUAAAAAAAGGAUGGAAAGACCUUGGGGAAAAAAGUUGGAAAUGACCCUUCCCACUGUGAAUGAUACAAGCUGCCUCAUUAUUACAGUCUGCUCCAUAGACUUCUGGGAGAUUACUGACUUCUUGGAAAGAAGAAAUUUUGAGUGUGAAGAACCUAUUUUGGAUUGGGAAUGGAGUAUCAAAUUGUGUGUGCCAGGGCUGCAAAGAAC